CUAAUAGUCUCGUCUGUCGACCUUUGCACUCUGAAAGACUGAAGUCUUGGUGGCGUAAGAUUUUGGUCAAAAUGAGCGUGUAAGGUGAUCUAUAAAUAGCUAAAGUGUGCAGAAAACGGCUUCGAAAUGAUUUCGUAAGGCAUGAUUUUAUUUUGAACUUUCAAGAUUGCAGUUUCUUGUAACUUUUCCGAAGUAUCCAAUCCCCUUUCAAAGAUCUGAUCACAUGACUUCAGCGGGAAACAAAGGCCUGUUGGGAGUGGCGGGAGAAAGUCGUCUUUGUCUCCAAACUUUCUCUGUAUGCGAACCUUGAUGAAAUCUGGACAUGUUGCUAUUGUUUCUUCGACGAAGGAAGGAUUUUUGUCAACACUUUCAUUCAGACAGAGUCGACUUAUAUCCUGAAACUGCUCUGAGGCUGUAUAUUUUCUGCAUUCCGUCUCCCGAACUUUGCGACUUCCGGGUUUUGGUCCGAAACAUUCCUGCACAUGCUGGUCUGUCGUCUGCGGAGGACCGUUAUCCGACAUUUGGCGCUGAUAUUGUCACCAGGACUUGGAUUUUCGACGUAUAGGACUUUUCUUCAGAAUGUGCAGGCAGUUACCAAUGUAGUCAAGAGAUUGGCACUAAUGCGAUGUGUGGUAGCCUCAUUUUAGCAGCCCUUUCCUUACUGUUUUCGUGAAAUUCCUUUGUUUCGGAAUUUGCUCCAUGAUACCGGUGGUCGAAUGAACAGUCAUCAGAGCCUGGCCUGGAUGUGUUUUCUGUGGAAGUGUUGUCGACAUUUACUAAUAAUCUGCAGUAUUACAUCCAGUAGGACGACAAAGCAUGAUGAGGAGGGACAAACUCACAAAGGGAGGAGACAGACAGGGGACCAGUGAUGACGGCGACACCGGAGAUGUAGGAAAGGUCUGAAACUACAGGACACCCCCACCGGAUGUGAUAUGGACAGUCCCCGGUUGCCUCCAUCCCCCCAGGCAAGGUGGCUCACUCCCAGCUGCUGUGGUGGUGAUUAGCUGGGCAGGGGGCGGGGCAGAUUGUUGACCAGAAAACUGAAGGAAGAGAAGAAGACAUGUCAGCGGUCUGAAGUGAAAACACUGUAGUUUCCAAUGUGAGAAAGUCAGCUAGCCUUGAGAGUCCAAGCAAUGUUUCAUCAGACCAUUCACAUGCUGCGUAAAGGAGACUGUUGCGAAUAAGGAGGAAGGGAUUGAUGCAUGGUUUAUUGACGUGAUAAAUAAAUGUCAGUUUAUGAUGUCAAUAAAUCUACCAGACACAUUAUACUUGUACUCCUCUGCAAAAUAGGCUGCAUCUAUCUAGCACACAGCAGGUGGGAGAAUAUGCAUCAGCAUAAUUCUGUUUGAUUUCGUCCUCCAUAUUCCAGUUGGAAGAAUAAGUAGGUCAGGCCAAACAAUUCCCAUAACCUUUGCAAAGCUGGCGGACCAAGGUCUGCUGGUUACAUGGAAUAUUUCAUGCUCUUGAGCCACUUCCAUGAUUAUGAGCUCAGGGGCGACCUUUGGGCUGACCCACAAGUUGGUUGCCAUGGUUACUGGCUGCUAUCAGGGGCAUAAGUAAUUAUGUGGACAGUGUCUGAAGAUGGGAGGGGUGCCAGAGUUGCAGAAGAGAUCACGGGUACCUGCCAUGUUGACUAUCUUGCCAGACGGCGCUGAUAACAUUGCAGCGCAAAGGACUGAUUAUUGCGGCCAUUCAUUUAAGUAAUUAAAUUCUUCUGAAAGUCCAUCUCACUGAAAAGGGGAUUUUAUAAAUCAUGUACAACUUUGUUGGCAAUUGUUGUGACAUUGAAGUUGUCUCUGACUUUUCCAUUCCUUCUGUAUAAUGCCAACCCACGAUACAAGGUCUCUCCUUACAAUGUAAACUGUGCCGGUUUUGCCUAAAGAACACUUUAACAGUAAUUCCCUUUAUCUACUACAACUAAGCCCUCUAGACCUGUGAAAAUCUGUAGAAUUCAAAGUCACUUCUUAACAGCUUUAAUGCAUAUUAGAUUCAACUUCCCAUACAAGGCACUGAAGCAGGAAUUAGCAAGUAAAUGUCACUGUAGCACUAGAAGAUGAUUUGAAGCCUGUGAAUUAUCACUA